UAGUCCACACCGUAAACGAUGAAUGCUAGUUGUUGGCAGGUAUACCUGUCGGUGACGCAGCUAACGCAUUAAGCAUUCCGCCUGGGGAGUACGGCCGCAAGGUUAAAACUCAAAGAAAUUGACGGGGGCCCGCACAAGCGGUGGAGCAUGUGGUUUAAUUCGAAGCAACGCGCAGAACCUUACCUACCCUUGACAUGCCCGGUUUGAUUAGUGGAGACGCUUUUCUUGAUUCGUUCGCCGGUGCACAGGUGCUGCAUGGCUGUCGUCAGCUCGUGUCGUGAGGUGUCAGGUUAAGUCCUAUAACGAGCGCAACCCUUGUCGUUAGUUGCCAGCAUGUAAAGAUGGGGACUCUAACGAGACUGCCGGUGCAAACCGUGAGGAAGGUGGGGAUGACGUCAAAUCAUCACGGCCCUUACGUCCUGGGCCACACACGUGCUACAAUGGUAUGGACAAUGAGCAGCCACUAUGUGAAUAGGAGCGAAUCUACAAACCAUAUCA
rnacentral:rRNA from 1 species